GAUCCCAAUAAUUUAGAAGCUUUUGGAUAGGAUUGGUGUGCAUCCCCGAUGUGGUGGGCCUUAUUCUUCUCCCUCCCCAAAUCCUUCCCACGAUCUCCUCCUCUGAACCCCUCCCUGCCUCUCUGGUUAAUCUCCACAUCCAGCGGCCUCCCUCUAAGAGCUGCUUCGUGGACGAGAUCCUGCGUGAGGAGGCCGUGGACGAAGCAGCCACACGGAGGAGUAGGAGUAGGCUUGGAGUUGCGCCAGCGAUUGAGGCGACUAGGGUUGCCCCGGGAGUUCUGCAUAGGGGCAGAAUGGUGUCGCGGCGGGUGGGGAAUCAAUGGAAGAGACCGAUUGGGUGCAGUGUCCGUGGGCAGCAGUGUGUGAGGAGUUCAGAACUGGCAGGAAUCGUCGCGAUGACCGCGGUGUCGGUGGCUAUUCGGUGGAGGAGGCAGCCGUUGUGCCAUGUCGGCGAGAAGCAUGCAGCAGCGGACCCGGCGAGGAUGGAGACAGCGGCGAAACCAGCGACUGCGCGUGCGAUAGUGCAGGCCGCCAUGUACGGCAGCGGCCGCGGAAGCGAGAGAUUGGAUAGCAAGAUCCCCGUCAAGAUACAGUCCGAAAUCUUCAGCACAGUAUCUGUCCCGAGAGGCAUGCGACAUAGGAUGUAUAUGGCGUGAUCACAAACCAGAUUGCUACAGACUCCCAGUGGUAAAUAUAAUCACUUCACUGUAUUAUUAGCUCCAGAUUAAUUACUUCAACAGAAGAAAAUCUCAGAUUAGUACUUGCAGCCACCUUCCUUGAUUUAAAUGGGAAUUUGAAUUGUUAUCACAAGAUUGGUUUUUGGAAUGGAACAAAUGAGUCAGACCAGAAUGUGAUAGAAAUGGUAGAACAGAUGGACAGAAAAGCUGUGUACUGACUCCCAUCCCCAACAAAAAAGAGUUAUUGUGUCAAUCGGAAAGAAACUCUACAACUUACAAUUUCUCUUGAACAGGUAUUUCACCUCUCAGACUAUUCUUUGAAUCUAUUAACACAAGAAGCGGCAGCUUCAAACAACAGAAUAGAAAAUUAGGUGUUGAAUUUAUAUAUAAAAGAGCUCUGUUUUUCUAACUCCUAAACAAAAAAGGACAUAUUCUGAUAGUGUUAUUAGUGGUAAAGAAAUAGACUUAGAUUCUUCUCCGAAUUGUCUGUCCAUUAGUUUCUUCAUACUACAGUUUGGAAGAAUUUGGAGGAGCCUUCUAAUGACUGCUAGAGUUCUUUCCUUUUUAGUCAGGUCAUUCUUUGUCUUGAAUGAAAAUUUUCUUAUUUUUUUCCAUGUUAUAUCUCAAAACUCACAAGUACUAUCUUCUGACAUGUUAAGUCGUGCUGAUUAUAUUUUCCCUGUCUGAAGUAGACCUCUUGAACAUGUCAACCUAGGCAUCUGCUGUGAUUUUCACUAGCUUUGAUUGAGUACAUAUUGCAGUCUGUUUGUUUUGAAGUAAGUGUAUUGUGAUUAAAAUAGGGAAUACCAUGUAUUUAACAAAAAUUUGUUUAUCUAAACAAGUAUAUAUGCAGCAUUACAAAUAUAUCCAGAAAGAUAUUAUAGCAUUCGCCCGGGAGACCAAGAUGCAAAGUGUCAAGAAGCAGUGUAAUAUAAAAAGCGCACAUCAUUUGUCUGAGCUAGCACUUACUGAGAAGAUAUUCGUGCAAACAGCAAAAUCUGACAUCCAGCAACAGGUAAGGGAGCCUGAAAGAGGGAUGAAAUGAAGUAUUCAAACUAAUGAAGCAGACAGUCUGCAUCGAGGCUGAAUGUCUACGGAAAGAGGAAUUACACUGACUGUUCCAGUUCCUAGAGUGCUUUGUUAGACAAGGAGAAGGAUCCCUUAGAGAGGGAGAAAAGAGGCAUGUGACAUGGCUCCGCAAAGAGACAUAAUUGACAUGUAAUACGCCAAGGAAAGCAUCGAAAUAAAGAGAUGACACAGAAACAUUGUAUUUAAUUAGGCCAUCUAUUGAGGAAUAUACAUACAUGUUUCCAGUACUGAAACUCACUUUGUCGAUUUUGUAAUGUAUCAAAAUUGAUAUUAGCGAACAUGGUACUUUGCUACAGGAUCUCAUUGCACCUAAGGUGGUUUUCUAUUCAGGGAUUGAACCUAAGGUGGUUUAUAAAAGUA